AUUGAACGCUGGCGGAAUGCUUUACACAUGCAAGUCGAACGGCAGCACGGGGGCAGCCCUGGUGGCGAGUGGCGAACGGGUGAGUAAUACAUCGGAACGUGCCCGGGCGUGGGGGAUAACGUAGCGAAAGUUACGCUAAUACCGCAUACGAUCUGAGGAGGAAAGCGGGGGACCUUCGGGCCUCGCGCGAUCGGAGCGGCCGAUGUCAGAUUAGGUAGUUGGUGGGGUAAAGGCCUACCAAGCCGACGAUCUGUAGCUGGUCUGAGAGGACGACCAGCCACACUGGGACUGAGACACGGCCCAGACUCCUACGGGAGGCAGCAGUGGGGAAUUUUGGACAAUGGGCGCAAGCCUGAUCCAGCCAUUCCGCGUGCAGGACGAAGGCCUUCGGGUUGUAAACUGCUUUUGUACGGAACGAAAAGGCUCUGGCUAAUACCUGGGGCUCAUGACGGUACCGUAAGAAUAAGCACCGGCUAACUACGUG
rnacentral:rRNA from 1 species